GAGUUUGAUCCUGGCUCAGAUUGAACGCUGGCGGCAUGCCUUACACAUGCAAGUCGAACGGCAGCACGGGAGCUUGCUCCUGGUGGCGAGUGGCGAACGGGUGAGUAAUGCAUCGGAACGUAUCCUGGAGUGGGGGAUAACGUAGCGAAAGUUACGCUAAUACCGCAUAUUCUGUGAGCAGGAAAGCGGGGGACCUUCGGGCCUCGCGCUCUUGGAGCGGCCGAUGUCGGAUUAGCUAGUUGGUGAGGUAAAGGCUCACCAAGGCGACGAUCCGUAGCAGGUCUGAGAGGAUGAUCUGCCACACUGGAACUGAGACGCGGUCCAGACUCCUACGGGAGGCAGCAGUGGGGAAUUUUGGACAAUGGGGGCAACCCUGAUCCAGCCAUGCCGCGUGAGUGAA
rnacentral:rRNA from 1 species